AAAAAUAUUAAUAGGUUCGAAAUCUAUGAACGAAGAUCGAUAAUAAAACUUUGUUUUCGUGAAAAUUUUGUGAUUAAUUAAUAAGAUUGAAAAUUUUGUAGGAUUGUUGGCUCGAGUAUUAGUUACAUCUUAAAGAAAAAAUUUAAUGUCAAAUCGAUUAUUUUCCAAAGAAUCUAAGAUUUCAAAUAAAGUAGAGCAUCGAUUUUGUACAAACUUAUUUGGAACCAGAAAUGUUUGUCAAAAAGAUUUUUUGGAUAAAUGACAUUCUGUUAAAUGCGAGUGAAGUUGCUUUGUCAAUGUAAUCACAUACUACACACGUUUAAGUUACGAAAAAUUGGAUAAAUUCGUACUUUUAACAUCAAAAAUAUAUUAUUUCGUCAAGUUUCUUUCGACUAAUUCGAUAAUUCAUUAACAGAUUCUAAGAACUUCAUUGAUAGAGGACGGAGUGAAUAAAUGGCAAAUCUAUUGGAGCAUUCAUCUUGGAUCAUUCAGUGGUCUACCCAAUAGAGCACUUAAUGAUGUAGUCAAUAGAGUUCUACUUUCUAAAAACUUAAUGGAGCAUCAAUCAGAAUCUGAGAUGAUGCUCGAAAUUUAAUCCGGAAAAUCAUUUUUGAUGUAUUAUUAAAAAAGAAAAAGAAAAGGAAACAAAAUAAAAACUAAAAGCAUGAAUUGGUUUUACAAGAAUUCAAUUGAUUGAACUUGGAUAAAAUCUAAACUGUAAAAAUUGUUGUUAGG